UGGGGGAUAUUGCACAAUGGGCGAAAGCCUGAUGCAGCGACGCCGCGUGGGGGAUGAAGGCUUUCGGGUUGUAAACCUCUUUCGCUAUCGAACAAGGCCCGCUUAGGGUGGGUUGAGGGUAGGUGGAGAAGAAGCGCCGGCUAACUACGUGCCAGCAGCCGCGGUAAUACGUAGGGCGCGAGCGUUGUCCGGAAUUAUUGGGCGUAAAGGGCUUGUAGGCGGCUUGUUGCGCCUGCUGUGAAAACGCGGGGCUUAACUUCGCGCGUGCAGUGGGUACGGGCAGGCUUGAGUGUGGUAGGGGUGACUGGAAUUCCAGGUGUAGCGGUGGAAUGCGCAGAUAUCUGGAGGACCACCGAUGGCGAAGGCAGGUCACUGGGCCAUUACUGACGCUGAGGAGCGAAAGCAUGGGUAGCGAACAGG
rnacentral:rRNA from 1 species